rnacentral:lncRNA from 1 species
CAACGAGUGGCUUGUAUCAUGUGCUCCGAAAUGAUUAAUAUAGAUAACUCCUUCAACCUUUUUUUUAAAAGAAAAAACCUCUAGCAUGAAUAUAUAAAAAAAUUAAAAAAUAAAAUAUCUGAAAGGACCAUUGAAGUAGACAUCAAUGCAAAGGUCCAUAGCACUUCGUUAAAAUACUCAACCAUGAAAGAAGAGAUCAUUCAAUCCAUGGUAAACGUGCAUCAUGAAAAAUAGCAUGUCUCCCUUCACUAGUCUCCAGAUAUCUUGCAAAAAAGGUUGUACCCAUUCUCCUCUUACCUAUCUUUGGAUUCAUACAAUCAUUAUGGCAGUCGCCCUCAACAUAAACAUAGCUAAUGCUUGCCCAAGCUGUAUUUAAUUCCACUCCAGAAACUCAGGCAUCAAAGAUUGGACUCCUGCCC